CGCCCCCCCACCAGACUCCCAAGUACUCUUGUAGUACUUGUGCGCCAGUUUGAGUGGAACUGGCCGUCCCGGAGUGCUAAGGUACUCGGGUCGGCUGAAAUGGAGGGAAUUUGGCCGCCGUGGCAUCACUUGCCCCGCGAUCAGGUGCGAUUUCGAACUCCCACGGCACUUCCAAGUGUCGUGGGACUUGGGUCUUCCAAGUGCGGGGCUCCCGGUGAGCCCGAGUGCGUGCGAGUUCCACAGCAGGCUACCUUGACUUGGGCCUUCCAGGCCACGAGGAAACGAAGAGGUAACGC
rnacentral:misc_RNA from 1 species